rnacentral:rRNA from 1 species
GCCAGACUCCUACGGGAGGCAGCAGUGAGGAAUAUUGGUCAAUGGCCGGAAGGCUGAACCAGCCAAGCCGCGUGAAGGACGAAGGUGCCAAGCAUUGUAAACUUCUUUUGUCAAGGGACAAAAUCAGGCUCGAGAGCCUGACCGAGGGUACUUGAAGAAAAAGCAUCGGCUAACUCCGUGCCAGCAGCCGCGGUAAUACGGAAGGUCCGGACGUUAUCCGGAUUUAUUGGGUUUAAAGGGAGCGUAGGCCGGCUUUUAGGUAGGCGGUAAAAGCCCGGGGCUCAACCCCGGCGAGCCGUUGAAACUGGCUGUCUUGAGAUGUCGAGAGGUAUGCGGAAUGCGCAGUGUAGCGGUGAAAUGCAUAGAUAUCGCGCAGAACUCCGAUUGCGAAGGCAGCAUGCCGGCUCCACACUGACGCUGAGGCACGAAAGCGUGGGUAUCGAACAGGAUUAGAUACCCUAGUAA